GCGCGUGUAGCUCAGCUGGUUAGAGCGUUGCUCUGAUAAGGCAAAGGUCCCUGGUUCGAGUCCAGGCACGCGCA
rnacentral:tRNA from 1 species